GAUGUUUCCUCCCAAACUUCCCCUGUCACUAAUUUGCAGGCUGCAGUAAAAUGGCAUGCUAGGCUUAGAUGAUUAUGCCAGUGUGUUUUCACCUAUAUCAGAAAGAUAAUGAGGUCCAGAGAGACUAUUCUACCAGUAAAAUGUUAUUAUUAAUAAUCACACAUUUAGACUCAACACAGUCUUCAUAGCUCAUUGUUUAAAAUCUUUUUUCUUGCUUGAAAGUGAAGCAUAUUAAACAACUUUGUUUUUAUUUUGUGUAGCGGCCAGUAGGGGUCCCCACUCACUCAAGACGUAGGGUAGCAUUACUUCCCCCUUGUUUCCGGAAGUGGCCUUUAAAUAGCUCCCGCUGCCUUCAGUCAGUCUCCACUAGGGCUGGCGGGAGACAGGUAGGUGUUUUUAGCUCUCCCUCAUUUUAUGCUUUUUAAGUCUGGUUUUAAAUGGCGUUUUAAGGGUUUCAGUGCAGAGAUACUCCGGUGGCAGCUUUUAUCCCCUGGAUCUGUGGUUUUAAUCUACACGGUGAGAUGGAAGUUUUAAUAGUUUUUUAGUACUAUUUACAAUCGGUUCUGUCUCUUUUAAUCCACAGAUUUUAGCCUGCUACUGUUUUAGAGUGCUUUAAAGUGUUUUAGGGUUUUAGAAUUUCAGUUGGGUUUUGAUUAAUUCAACUCGAUUACUUUAAUUUGGUUUGUUCUAACCCUAAUUUCUCUGCACCGUGUUUUAUUUUAUUGAUGUCCCCGGGUGUUUAGUUUUUGGUUUAGUGAGUUUAGUUUCCCGCGGUGGCUUGGGAGGAAAUUAGCCCGUAUUUUUGUUUAUUCACUUGGGGUCUUUGUUGUUUGGCGUGUGUGUGUUGAUAGCACUUUCUGUUUUGUUUGCGGUGGGGCGAUUCCUUCUCAACCAUCCUUGUUGGUCUUUUGUUAAUGUUAAUAUCCUUUUUUUUUAGGUUCUGUUUACGCCCAGGGUCUACAAGGUUUUAAUUGUAUUUUAUUCUGUAUUUGGCCAUUUUGAUAAUUACCUGGAAUAAAUCGUAUUUAGCUAAUAAAUUAAUUUUAACAUUACAUUUUGUUUGCUGCUUCAUUUUAAUAUUUUAAAUAAAUUUUAUUACACAUUUUAAGUCUGGUCUCUGCCUUGUUUUUACAAUACUUACCUGUGUGUCUUAUUUUAAGCUGGUGGUUCUUUUAUGGGUUUUUAAAACACUUUUUACCAGUUUAUUCUUAAGUACCUCGGGUCACAUUUGCUUUUUACGGCUGGUUAAUGAUCAGUGACCCUACCAAGGCCAUAUCUCAGUGUGCUGAUCACUUUCACCAUAUUCCUGAAAUGGAGAGUCCCUUGCUUCUCAGCAUGGACAUCAGAAAAAGUCCUGCCCAGCAGGACAUGGCACUGAUGUCCUUUUACCAACGGCCUGAUGUGGAAUGGACACGACCCCUGAAUUACAGACUUGAAGGUCGGUCCAGUUACAAGUUUUAAUUGUCACAAAGGAUUGAGAGCAUUUUCUUCAUGGUAUAAACCUGACAUUGUGUUGCAGGAGACGCUGCUAUUGGAGAGGCUGUCAUUGGCUUUUUUCUCUCUACAUGCAUGGAAAAGCUGCAGUCAGGGUUUGUGUCUUGUGUCUGUGGCAUCCUCACAAAUGUUGACUUUAUUUUAGGUGACAGGAAAGAUUUUUGAACACCAUGUUUCUAUGAUGUGUUGAUGCAUCACUGUGCUAACAAUGCAGUCUGACAACUAUUCCCUCACAUUCACACCUAGAGGCAGUGAAGACUCACUAAUAUUAACCUGCAUGUUAUUGUGUUGUGGGAGGAAGCCUGUUGUUUAUUGUUUGUGUGUUUUUUAUGUCUUCAGCAGCACACUCCAGCAUUCCAAGGCUUUUUGAAGGAGAUCCUGAGCAUUUAGUGCCCUCAGCCUCUCACUUUGUUGUGGAAAGUGAUGUGUUCCUCAUGCAGGGAGAAUGUUAGGCCACUCCUUUCUUCAUGUGUCUUCAGGACUCAGCCCUGCUGUUGUUCAUGUUCUGCUCACUGGAAGUCCUGAAACUGCAGCUGCUACACUGGAGGACUGUCCAGACCUGGACAUCAGAGGAACAAUCACACUCUAUGAUCAUUUAAACAAUAACCUGUUUCCUUCCAUGUUCUAUUUAUUCCACAGUGGGGCACCUUUUUAUCCUAUAUCCAGUGUCCUUGAGGGCUCAUAGUGAUGUUUAUGACUAAUCCAAGCCUGGGAGCUGAUGAGAAUUUUAUGAAUUACUUUUAUGUUAAAAAUGAAAAUGUGGAUUGUAGAGUGACUCAAAUGCCAGUCAUCUGUGAAGACAGUGGAGCUUAUCUGGACCCACCAUGUUCCAGCGUUUAUUAUUUAGUGUUCAGGUCUUUUACAGCUGCACAUAGAAUCUGGUAUUUUCUUUCCUAAUUUGCUCUCCUUUGUUUUGAAGCUUGAAGGGCAUUCCAGACUCUCUGAAAAAGAUAGAAAAAGUGCUGAGGACUUGGCCUCUGCCUGGAACCUCCCUCCUCUAACUGAGGACAACAGAAGACGGCUUUUUGAGAAGCUAUUGAUCCAUGCUUAAUUGUCGUCACAAGACAAAUGAAGCAGCUGCAGUGAGGCCUUAAAGAAACUCCAACAUGGACAGAGCUGACUCAACCACCGACACAGUAGCCUUGAUUUUUCCAAAAGAGGGAGCAGGAAUAUCAGCCCAGAGGGAGCCACGAUGACAUCAGAGGACCUCAAAAACAUCCUGGAUGAUCUGAGUGAUGCUGAGCUGCGUACAUUCCAGUGGCACCUGAAGCAGCCCAACAAUGUUCAAGGCCUCCCAGCCAUCACAAAGAGCCGACUACAGACACUAGACAGGUGUAAAACUGUGGAUGUGAUGGUGGAGACUUAUGGACUUCAGAGAGCUGUGCAGGUGACCAGGGUGGUUUUAGAGAAGAUCUCCAGGAAUGAUCUGCUGCAGAGGUUUCCUGCCAGCAGCUCAGGACCAGAAGGUCAGUCACAAGACAAGAACAACAUGAUAUCAUUACAGUCAGAAAGAUGCAUGAUGGUGCUGCUACAGUUUGAUAGAGUUCAGGUUCUGUCAGUUUUUCCUGAGUCCACAUGUAAGGUC